CGGAAAAGCCCACACCACCGACAACCAUUAGCAUAAUGAGAUUUUACCCGUAAUGGCAGCAAACUAGCUCUAUCGACCAGUACUUUCACAAUCAGUUCAUGGAAUAACGGCUGCACUAGUAAUAGUGAGACAGCAAUCUGAGGAAAGCAAAGUAGGACCGUUCGCAAAAGACAAGAGAAUAUGACGGAACCAGCGGGAGCUCGAAAGCUUACAGACAGUCGAUAUUCGGUCUUCAACAAACCUGCACAAACAUCUACGAAACAACCUGUAUCUCCGAUUUUUGAAACACCUAUGAGAUUGGUUGUCAACACUGAUGGCAAGACAACUUUAAAUCACGAAACUCUAGCUUAACUCAGCAAAAUCGAGAAAACUCUAAACGUCGUAUCAGUGGUUGGGAGUCUGAGGACUGUAGAAUCAUAGCUUCAGUGCAACUGUCUGUUUUAGUUACCUGUUAUUAUACUUAAUUGUAUUUUGGAAACAUUCUAUUGAACCCAAUUUGAACAGCUUUUGUUGCACACACGUAUUUAAGAAACACAACGUUUCUGUCAUUUGUUCCUCCUAAACCCUGAACUACCAUAAAAAGAUAAUAGGUGAGGGUAGAUUUCUCGGAAGCACAGAGCACCGAAUACACAGCCCCAGAGCCACGCAUUUACAUAGUAGGCCCACAACAAAGAGAAGCUGUAAUGGAAAAAUAUUUCAGGCAGACGUUAAAAUUAAAAUUAAAUUUAGGCAGACGUUUCAAAUUCACUCAGAAAUGCUAAAGUUCUGUGUUUGCAAAGAUAUCCUGGCGUCUGGAUUAACAGACUCCUUUGUGUUGAAAUAAAUGCAAAGGAUACGACAGAUCAGGUUUACUAAAAAAGUAAUACAAUCAUUUCUGCAAACAUUCUAAACAAUUCAUAGCAUUUUCAAUCUACAAAUUUCUAAUAAAAGAUUAUUCUUAAUAUACAUAUUGAUACA